rnacentral:rRNA from 1 species
AUGCUACGGCGUGCCUGCACUCUGCUUCGUUGGUGCAUCGACCGAGCACCACCUCCCUUCUCUCUCCACUACGAUGGGCCAACGGCAGCGCGGGGUAGACAAGUGUCUGAAGUUCAGUUGUAUCAGUGUUUCACCCCAUUAGAAAAUUCAUGUUAUGCUCAUUACUUCGGCAACUGGAGGACGCAUGCCGACUGCUCACCCUUCCAGCGAUUGUCGGUUUACGCGGACGACGUCAUUUUGUUCAUCAAACCCACAGUCGCAGAUCUAAGCUUUACCACAAUGGCUUUGCAAAUGUUUGGUGAAGCGUCUGGAUUACAUGUCAACUUCCCCAAGUCUUCGGCGAUCAUGAUUCAUGCCGAUGAGACAGACACUGAGAGGGUCUCUCAUGCUCUGCCGUGGCGUAUGGACUCUUCCCCGUGCAAGUAUCUGGGCUUGAUGCUCUCCAUCAAGCAGCUCACCCGCUCGGAUUGGCAGCCAGUGGUGGAUGACGUGCUCAACUUCUUACCAGGAUGGCAGAGGGGCAUGGUGACAAGACCGGGCAGGCUGACUUUGGUCAAUACGGUGAUUCGGGCCCGGCCCACUCAUCACCUGCUUGUCGCCGAUGCACCAAAAUGGGAUCUGGAGCGUGUAGACAAGAGCUGCCGUGCUUUCUUUUGGGCUGGAACUGAGCAUAUUCAUGGCGGCAAAUGCUUGGUCGCUUGGCAGAAGGUGUGCCGUCCUAAGCAGCUUGGUGGAUUGGGUGUGCUGGAUCUUCAGAAGCAUGGUCUCGCCCUUAGGCUCAGAUGGGAAUGGCUGCGGCGUACGGAUGACGCUAGACCGUGGCAGGGGCUACCACUGUCGAUGGAUGCUCAGGUGCAGUCAGCGUUCAACAGCUUGGUGCACUGGAAGGUUGGAAAUGGAGAGCGAAUCCUAUUCUGGAAAGAUAGAUGGAUCGAGGGUUGGACCGUUGCUGAGAUUGCGCCAUUGGUACGGGCGAAGGUCCGCACGCAAGUGGUGAAUAAACGGACAGUUAGCAAGGCGUGGCAUCUCCAUCGAUGCGCUAAUGACAUCUCGGGAGAGUUAUGCUGA